GCAAAAUCAGAGAGUAGUUAGGAUCUGAAAAAACAUUAAUAACUUGCAUUGAACUAAAAUUCUGACCACAUUUAUGUGAGCAUUACCUGUCCAGUACAGUGACUACAGAGUACUUGGUUUAGGUAAUCCUUGCAUGUCUCACAAAGUGACUGCAGGGUACUUGUUUUAGGUAAAGCUUGACCUGUCCCACAAGGUGACUGCAGGGUACUUGGUUUAGGUAAGCCUCACCCAUCCCACAAGGUGACUGCGGGGUACUUGGUUUAGGUAAGCCUCACCCAUCCCACAAGGUGACUGCGGGGUACUUGUUUUAGGUAAGCCUCGCGUGUCCCACAAGGUGACUGCAGGGUACUUGUUUUAGGUAAGCCUCGCGUGUCCCACAAGGUGACUGCAGGGUACUUGUUUUAGGUAAGCCUCGCGUGUCCCACAAGGUGACUGCAGAGUACUUGGUCAGUCAGUGUUGUGCUGUGUUUUCCCUCGCAGCUGUUCAGUACUAAUGUUUCUGUGUGGCCCCACCAGACUCCUUUUCCAGGUGUCACCACUGCCCAGACUCUCUCCCUGCAGCGUCACCUUCCCUUCCCCCUGUUCCCUGUGGGGACUGCAGUGAGGGAACCUCAUCUAGUUCCACUUCCAGUUCCUGGGGUUGCUUCCUGCCUCAGACCUCCUCCUCUGUGAGGUUGGCACCUGGUGGUUCUUAGAGAGACACUGACUCCCAUACGAAGCAUAACACGCCUCUGGGCUGCCAUGUCUGCACCAUGUCAAUCCUGCUUCUGUGCUCAAAGGGCUCCAAAAGCACGUUAAUUACAGUCCACAAGCUGAUAUCCUGGGUUUAGCGCAGACAGAGAAGGAUGUCCGUGCACACGGCCUCGCCUGCGCCUGAGCGCUCUCUCCUGCUCAGGUGAGAGGACCACUUGAAAAGGCACUACCCGUCGCUUCCCUGCCAGGGUGGCUCAGCAGCACCACAUUGCAGACACUCAGAAAGCUCCUGCCACUGGCACCAAGACAACGUUUCUGGGAAACAGAGAGCAAGAGGCUGCAAUAAUGCUGGUAGCACCCAGGGCCCAUCACUUAUCUACUGAUUGCGAAACAAACCAGGGCUUCAAAGAGAAGAGCGUGUGCUGAAAAGUCUAUUUGAUCCGCCCUUUAAAGUGAAAAUGAAGCCUCUUCAUGAGGAGCAGACCGACCCCAUAAGCUUAUAGCUCCAGUUUCUUCCACCCACCAAUACAGCGUGCAGGUAGCUCACCAGGAACUAAGACACCAUCUUCAAACCGAGCUCCCAUUCUGGAAGCAUCGGCUUCAGCAGACAAAAGGGAAUGCAGACCCACCAGCUAAAAAGAGUAAUGUUUUUCCUGGCCUAGAGGCUUGAGUACUUUCAUCAGAAAGAACUGGGUGGGAGAACUCUCGGGUACGACUUGGGUGGGCCCCUGCCCAGUUCUGGAGGGGAAGCUGCCAGGAGAACAUAGACUAAGUAAACAUGUCCCCACUCCACCACAGUUUGUGGUCUGGCGCUUGCUCCAUGUGGCCCCGAGAGGUGGGAGCUACAAACACAAUGGGACAGAAGCUACAAAAGGACAGAUUUGGGUUCAACAUGAGCAGGAAAUAAGAGAGCAGCCUCAAGACAGUGUUGGCACCCUCUGCAGCCACGAGCUCUCAGUCAGUGCAUGUCCCAUCACCCAUAUGUGAGUGAGGAACCUCAGGCUGGAUGGGGUGAGACACCUGGCAUCCUCCUCCAAAGGAAUUACAUCUGUAGGCAGCGUCUCAAUGGGAAUCACAAUCAGAAAGCCCAGAACAUCGUCCAAAGGAGAAGAAAAGGAAAACAAAUACAUCCAAAAGAAACAGACAUGCAGGAGAGAAUCCUUAUCCAAAGACAAAGGAAGAGAAGCAAAAGCCAAGAUUUAAAGUGAAGGAUGAGAAGCAAAGCCUUGCAGGAGCUCCUGAGGUGAGCAGCAGACUGAGACAGCCUUCUGGUCUCGGGUUUGAAGCACCAACGUUGGGCCGUGACUUGAUCGAUCUAAAGUGGACAGCUUCUUGUUUGGGUGUCAUAGAAGGCAGCCAAGCUUUGGGUGAGUGGUGGGACUUCAUCAGUGUUCCGAUGGAACUGCUACAUCUCCAAAUUACAUGUCGUCCUUCGUGAGUGCAGGCCCAUGUUUUUCUGGAGAGUUGACAGCUUUUGUCAGAUUC
rnacentral:lncRNA from 1 species